GUUCAGAAUCUGCCUAAAGGUGCAGAGAAGGUGGGAUCUCUCAAACUCACCUACAUCUCUAAGGUCAGCGAUGCCACCAAACUCAGACCAAAGGCAGAGUUCUGCUUCGUUAUUAAUGCAGGAAUGAGGAAGUUUUAUCUGCAGGCCAACGACCAGCAGGAUUUAGUGGAGUGGAUCAGCGUUCUCAACAACGCUACCAAGAUCACUG